rnacentral:rRNA from 1 species
ACAUACGGUCAUAGAAUGAGGAAAACUAGAGUCCCCGUCCGCUCACUCCUAUAUAAGCCUCAUAUCGGCCCAUUAGUACUAUGGUGGGUGACCACAUGGGAAUCCGGCGCUGCUGUAUGUUUU